CCCGAGUAGCGCGGGACACGUGAAAUCCCGUGUGAAUCUGGCAGGACCAUCUGCUAAGGCUAAAUACUACCUAGCGACCGAUAGUGAACCAGUACCGUGAGGGAAAGGUGAAAAGCACCCCGGGAGGGGAGUGAAACAGUACCUGAAAC
rnacentral:rRNA from 1 species